AUGGCCCAUAUGACCACUGUUCGCACACUUCUCGCUAUGGCCUCUGUUCGCCACUGGUCCGUUUCUCAGCUUGAUGUUAAGAAUGCCUUUCUUAAUGGUGAGUUGCGUGAGGAAGUUUAUAUGCAGCCACCACCUGGGUAUUCAGUUCCUGAUGGAAUGGUUUGCCGUCUUCGUCGCUCUCUCUAUGGCCUUAAGCAAGCCCCCCGCGCUUGGUUUGAGCGUUUUGCCUCGAUGGUCACUGCUGCUGGUUUUUCACCUAGUGCUCAUGAUCCAGCGCUGUUUGUCCACCUUUCUGCUCGUGGUCGCACUCUUCUUCUUCUAUAUGUUGAUGACAUGAUCAUCACCGGCGAUGAUCUUGAGUACAUUGCCUUUGUCAAGGCCCGUCUAAGUGAGCAGUUUUCUAUGUCCGAUCUUGGUCCACUUCGUUACUUUCUUGGGAUUGAGAUUUCCUCCAUCUCUGAUGGCUUUUUUAUUUCCCAAGAAAAGUAUAUCCAGGAUCUUCUUGCCCGUGCGGCUCUUAGUGAUGAACGCACAGUCGAGACUCCUAUGGAGCUUAAUGUUCACCUUCGUGCUUCUGAUGGUGAGCCCUUGUCUGAUCCGACUCGUUAUCGUCAUCUUGUUGGGAGUCUUGUCUAUCUCGCUGUCACUCGUCCGGAUAUCUCAUAUCCUGUCCAUAUCUUGAGUCAGUUUGUUUCUUCUCCCACUUCGGUUCACUAUAGUCACCUUCUUCGUGUUCUACGAUAUCUUCGUGGCACGAUCUCUCGCCGUCUUUUCUUUCCUCGUUCCAGCUCGUUACAGCUCCAGGCCUAUUCGGAUGCUACCUGA
rnacentral:rRNA from 1 species